GAUGAACGCUAGCUACAGGCUUAACACAUGCAAGUCGAGGGGUAACAAGAGAAAAGCUUGCUUUUCUUGUUGACGACCGGCGCACGGGUGAGUAACGCGUAUCCAACCUGCCUAUAACUAGGGAUUAACCUUGCGAAAGUAAGACUAAUACCCUAUGAUUUCCUUUGAUGACAUCAGAUUAGGAAUAAAGAUUUAUCGGUUAUAGAUGGGGAUGCGUCUGAUUAGCUUGUUGGCGGGGUAACGGCCCACCAAGGCAACGAUCAGUAGGGGUUCUGAGAGGAAGGUCCCCCACAUUGGAACUGAGACACGGUCCAAACUCCUACGGGAGGCAGCAGUGAGGAAUAUUGGUCAAUGGGCGGAAGCCUGAACCAGCCAAGUAGCGUGCAGGAUGACGGCCCUAUGGGUUGCAAACUGCUUUUAUACAGGAAUAAAGUUAGCCACGUGUGGUUAUUUGUAGGUACUGUAUGAAUAAGGACCGGCUAAUUCCGUGCCAGCCGCCGCGGUAA
rnacentral:rRNA from 1 species